ACAACAACGCAACAGUGAGUGUGCUGUAAGUGUGAGUGUUGACUAUGGGUCUUCGCAUGCUNAGGCCUUAGCCAGUGCUUAUGCUUGUAGUAUUAUGAUCUGAGGCGUUUGUCAGUGUACAUUUGUACUGUCACCUAUCCGUCCCGUCUUGAAACACGGACCAAGGAGUUUAUCGUAUGUGCGAGUUAUUGGGUGAUUAAAACCUAAUGGCGUAAUGAAAGUAAAGGUUUUGCUUGCAAAACUGAUAUGUGAUCCGGAUGUCCUUCGGGGCUUCGGCGCAGCAUAGCCCCAUCUCGGUUGCUUGCAACGGGGUGGAGGUAGAGCAUAUGCGAUGAGACCCGAAAGAUGGUGAACUAUGCCCGGGCAGGAUGAAGCCGGAGGAAACUCUGGUGGAAGUCCGUAGCGGUUCUGACGUGCAAAUCGAUCGUCUGACCUGGGUAUAGGGGCGAAAGACUAAUCGAACCAUCUAGUAUG
rnacentral:rRNA from 1 species